UGAAUCAAGUCAAUAAACACAACUGGUCUCUGUCAAUAUCAACAACCAUUCCCAGGGGCAGCUUUUGAAUCUCGGUCACCAAGCUGCCAACCUGGACUGCCAAGACUGGCUUAUGGAGGAGUAGCACCGAUUUACCCUAUUAUAAGAAGAACCAUGUCCCCGUUGAGGUAAAUAUUCAUUCUAUUUGAUGAGGAAAGUGAAGCUUAGAAAGAAGAUCAGUAAUCUCCCCAAGG